rnacentral:rRNA from 1 species
CACGUAGGGGCCAAGCGUUGUCCGGAUUUAUUGGGCGUAAAGAGCUCGUAGGCGGUCUGUUACGUCCGCUGUGAAAACCCAGGGCUUAACCCUGGGCUUGCAGUGGAUACGGGUAGACUAGAGGCAGGUAGGGGAGAAUGGAAUUCCCGGUGUAGCGGUGAAAUGCGCAGAUAUCGGGAGGAACACCUGAGGCGAAGGCGGCUUCCUGGACUGCAACUGACGCUGAGGCGCGAAAGCUAGGGGAGCAAACAGG